GAUGAACGCUGGCGGCGUGCCUAAUACAUGCAAGUCGAGCGAACAGACGAGGAGCUUGCUCCUCUGACGUUAGCGGCGGACGGGUGAGUAACACGUGGAUAACCUACCUAGAAGACUGGGAUAACUUCGGGAAACCGGAGCUAAUACCGGAUAAUAUAGUGAACCGCAUGGUUCAAUAGUGAAAGACGGUUUUGCUGUCACUUAUAGAUGGAUCCGCGCCGCAUUAGCUAGUUGGUAAGGUAACGGCUUACCAAGGCAACGAUGCGUAGCCGACCUGAGAGGGUGAUCGGCCACACUGGAACUGAGACACGGUCCAGACUCCUACGGGAGGCAGCAGUAGGGAAUCUUCAGCAAUGGGCGAAAGCCUGACGGAGCAACGCCGCGUGAGUGAUGAAGGUCUUCGGAUCGUAAAACUCUGUUAUUAGGGAAGAACAAAUGUGUAAGUAACUAUGCACGUCUUGACGGUACCUAAUCAGAAAGCCACGGCGAACUACGU
rnacentral:rRNA from 1 species